AGGAUAUUAGGUCCUGCAUGAGUGAACCGAGGCAGGAGGGAAAGACAACUAGGUCAUGAAUCUCAAUGUGGGCCUGUUUGUACACAGCAGAAAGUGGAAUCUGAGGAAAUAUGCUUAGAAAGACCAGCGUAGAUGCAUGAGGCAAGAAGCCACUUUUGGAGAGAUUCCUGGAAGCACACAGUGCAUGAGGAGUAAAGGGACUGAGCCCUGAUGACUGCUGAGGAGAGUGUUGCAAUAAUCAGUGUUUGAAGAAGCACUUAAGGAUGCUGCACUCUUUCUGUGGAAAUGUUAAAAGUCAGUGUUUCUCAUCUACUGCUUGAAUGAAAUUCCUCCCUCUCAAAAAGAUUAACAAUGAUCCAACAGCUGUGAUGGAGGAGGGGGCAGAGACUGGCCUUAAGUGGAAAGCGCUCUCAAGCCCAUUCUCUUUCCAAAGACAAAGCUGAUCCUGAAAUAGAAGGUAAGGUGAUGAGAAAACCCAAUUCCUACCUCUCUUACUCCUGGCUCUGCAUCUCACUGAGAGCCAGUGAUGGUCCUGUAACAGAAGGGUCCCCAGGACCUAAGGAGACCACAGGAUCCCUCAUUGAAUCCCAGGACCUAAAGAGACCACAGGAUCCCUCAUGGAAUCCCAGGACCUAAAGAGAAAUUAGGAUCCCUCAUGGAAUCCCAGGACCUAAGGAGACCACAGGAACCCUCAUAGAAUCCCAGGACCUAAGGAGACCACAGGAACCCUCAUAGAAUCCCAGGACCUAAGGAGACCACAGGAACCCUCAUGGAAUCCCAGGACCUAAGGAGACCACAGGAACCCUCAUGGAAUCCCAAGCCAAGAAAGCUUAAGACAAGCCAUUGUUCCUAGGAAAUCUUCCCAUCAAGGAGUCUCCUCACAGCACCAGCUGUUCAGCUCUGUUUAAACCGUCAUUCAGCCAAGGCAGUUUAGUGGCACACCCAAACUCUAUAGCCCGCGCCAAAAUUGUUUAAAACACCAUUUGAACCCAACAGCCAGUCAAUUUAAAAAUACUCCAAAUAGAAAGCCAAUAAGAUUUGAAAACAAAGAAACUGACAAUCAAAAGGUGACCACAGCCGCUGAUUUAUUCAUCUGCUUAUACACUAAAGCUUGUCUUUUCCGAAAGAGGAUCUAAAAUGUCAGUGUUCUUUCAGUGUGUGUGUGUGUGUGUGUGUGUGUGUGUGUGUGUGUGCGCGCGCGCGCACGCGCGCGCUUUGUGCUUUGUGCCCCUGAUUAUAGAGUAUAGGAACAACUUUCUACAGCGUGAUUCUGUGUUUUCAAAGUGCCAAACAUCAUGGGACUCAAGACACCAUGCUCUGGUUCGACUCUCUUGUUACACAAAACUUUCGAGAGCCCAGAGGCACACAGUGCUGUAUCAAGGUCUCCUGCGAACGUGAACAGCAGAAAGAAGGCAGUUUUUGUGUUUCCAGGCCAACACAUCCUGCUACAGGUGACUGCGAAGUAUAUUUAGAUGUUAUUUGGCUGAUCCGCAGAUGUAAGGGUACCCUGGUUAAUAAAUAAGGGAAACUCAUUUC